CGCAAAUAGGCAGAGAUCCAGGGAUUUCCGAAUGAGGGAACUCACAUGGGUAACCCCAUGUAUCAUGCACUGAAUACAUAGGUGUAUGAGGGUAAACCCGGGGAACUGAAACAUCUAAGUACCCGGAGGAAGAGAAAGAAAAAUCGAUUUCCUAAGUAGCGGCGAGCGAACGGGAAAGAGCCCAAACCAGAAACUUGUUUCUGGGGUUGAGGAUAGAUCAUAAAAGAAGAGGUAUCUUAAUCGAAAAGGGCUGGAACGCCCUACCAUAGAAGGUAAUAGUCCUGUAGAUGAAAAGAGAAAACUUCGAGAUCUAAUCCAGAGUACCACGAGACACGUGAAACCUUGUGGGAAGCAGGGAGGACCACCUCCCAAGGCUAAAUACUACCUAGUGACCGAUAGUGAAGCAGUACCGUGAGGGAAAGGUGAAAAGAACCCCGGGAGGGGAGUGAAAUAGAACCUGAAACCGUGUGCCUACAACCGAUCGGAGCACGUUAAAGUGUGACGAUGUGCUUUUUGUAGAACGAGCCAGCGAGUUACGCUAUGUAGCAAGGUUAAGUACUUAAGGUAUGGAGCCGAAGGGAAACCGAGUCUGAAAAGGGCGAAAAGUUGCAUGGUGUAGACCCGAAACCGGGUGACCUAUCCAUGGCCAGGUUGAAGCGAGAGUAAAAUCUCGUGGAGGACCGAACCACGUUGGUGUUGAAAAACCAUGGGAUGAGCUGUGGAUAGCGGAGAAAUUCCAAUCGAACUCGGAGAUAGCUGGUUCUCCCCGAAAUAGCUUUAGGGCUAGCGUCGUGUAAUUGAGUAAUGGAGGUAGAGCACUGAAUGGGCUAGGGGCUAUAGUAGUUACCGAACCCUAUCAAACUCCGAAUGCCAUAUACUUGUAUCACGGCAGUCAGACUGCGAAUGAUAAGAUCCGUAGUCAAAAGGGAAACAGCCCAGACCAUCAGCUAAGGUCCCAAAGUGUAAGUUAAGUGGAAAAGGAUGUGGGAUUUCUAAGACAACUAGGAUGUUGGCUUAGAAGCAGCCACUCAUUUAAAGAGUGCGUAAUAGCUCACUAGUCAAGAGAUCCUGCGCCGAAGAUGUCCGGGGCUCAAACUUACCACCGAAGCUAUGGGGUGUACACUAUGUGUACGCGGUAGGGGAGCUUUCUGUAUGGGUUGAAGUCGUACCGUAAGGAGUGGUGGACUGUACAGAAGUGAGAAUGCUGGCAUAAGUAGCGAGAAAUAAGUGAGAAUCUUAUUGGCCGAAAACCUAAGGUUUCCUGGGGAAGGCUCGUCCGCCCAGGGUUAGUCGGGACCUAAGCCGAGGCCGAAAGGCGUAGGUGAUGGACAAUCGGUUGAUAUUCCGAUACCACCUAUUUACGUUUGAGAGAUGGGGUGACGCAGUAGGAUAAGAUGUGCGCACUAUUGGAUGUGCGUCUAAGCAUUUAGGCAUGCUUGAUAGGCAAAUCCGUCAGGCUAAGCUGAGAUGUUAUGGGGAGCCAAAUGUGGCGAAGUAUCUGAUUCCACACUGCCAAGAAAAGCCUCUAUCGAGUAAAUAGGUGCCCGUACCGCAAACCGACACAGGUAGGUGAGGAGAGAAUCCUAAGGCCAUCGGAAGAAUUGCUGUUAAGGAACUCGGCAAAUUGACCCCGUAACUUCGGGAGAAGGGGUGCCUACGAAAGUAGGCCGCAGAGAAUAGGCCCAAGCAACUGUUUAGCAAAAACACAGGUCUCUGCUAAAGCGAAAGCUGAUGUAUAGGGGCUGACGCCUGCCCGGUGCUGGAAGGUUAAGGGGAACACUUAGCGAAGCGAAGGUGUGAACUUAAGCCCCAGUAAACGGCGGCCGUAACUAUAACGGUCCUAAGGUAGCGAAAUUCCUUGUCGGGUAAGUUCCGACCCGCACGAAUGGCGUAAUGAUUUGGGCACUGUCUCAACAGCAAAUCCGGCGAAAUUGUAGUGCAAGUGAAGAUGCUUGCUACCCGCGAUUGGACGGAAAGACCCUGUAGAGCUUUACUGUAGCUUAGCAUUGAAUCUCGGUAUUGUCUGUAC
rfam:Clostridium sp. IEH 97212 scaffold_81, whole genome shotgun sequence.